CCUACGGGUGGCAGCAGUGAGGAAUAUUGGUCAAUGGGCGCGAGCCUGAACCAGCCAAGUCGCGUGAGGGAAGACGGUCCUAUGGAUUGUAAACCUCUUUUGUCGGGGAGCAAAAGACGCCACGCGUGGCGUUCCGCGCGUACCCUACGAACAAGCAUCGGCUAACUCCGUGCCAGCAGCCGCGGUAAUCCGGAGGAUGCGAGCGUUAUCCGGAUUUAUUGGGUUUAAAGGGUGCGCAGGAGGAAGAUCAAGUCAGCGGUAAAAUUGAGAGUCUCAACCUCUUAGAGCCGUUGAAACUGGUGUGCUGGAGUGAGCGAGAAGUAGGCGGAAUGCGUGGUGUAGCGGUGAAAUGCAUAGAUAUCACGAAGAACUCCGAUUGCGAAGGCAGCAUACCGGAGCGCAACUGACGCUGAUGCACGAAAGUGUGGGUAUCGAACAGGAUUAGAUACCCCAGUAGUC
rnacentral:rRNA from 1 species